ensembl:misc_RNA Metazoa_SRP Metazoan signal recognition particle RNA
GCCAGGCGAGGUGGCUCAUGCCUGUAAUCCCAGCACUUUGGGAGGCUGAGGCGGGUGGAUCACCUGAGGCCAGGAGUUCAAGACCAGCCUGGCCAACAUGGUGAAACCCCGUCUCUA